rnacentral:rRNA from 1 species
GGGGAAUCUUGCGCAAUGGGCGAAAGCCUGACGCAGCAACGCCGCGUGCGGGAUGAAGGCCUUCGGGUUGUAAACCGCUUUCAGCAGGGACGAAGAUGACGGUACCUGCAGAAGAAGCCCCGGCCAACUACGUGCCAGCAGCCGCGGUAACACGUAGGGGGCGAGCGUUGUCCGGAUUUAUUGGGCGUAAAGAGCUCGUAGGCGGUUCCGUCAGUCGGGUGUGAAAACUCUGGGCUCAACCCAGAGACGCCACCCGAUACUGCGGUGACUAGAGUCCGGUAGGGGAGUGCGGAAUUCCUGGUGUAGCGGUGAAAUGCGCAGAUAUCAGGAGGAACACCAACGGCGAAGGCAGCACUCUGGGCCGGUACUGACGCUGAGGAGCGAAAGCGUGGGGAGCGAAC